UAAAAGUCGUAUUGUUAUCCAAGUUCUUUUCAGUAAUGCAUUUGCAAUUAGAAUUGCUGUGUAUCACUUAAACAUAUUGCUAGUAAGAGAGAACCAAAGUUACUAGAUUAUUUGUUUUGUGGAUUGUCAAUAAUAUUAAUCUAACAGUUGCAACAGAUAAAACAUAACCUUUCAAUACCGAAAAACAUUCAUAUUAAGAUUUUUUCAGAACUUUAUACCCUGGAAGUGAAAAUGAAAUUUUACAUCCAUUUACUAAACUCGGAAAAUGUUGAUGUUAUAGGAAUAUCUCGUAGGGAAUGAUAAGCAAAUAUAUGAAUGCAUUUUGUAGGUGUGCAUGUAAGGUAAAUUUCAUACUGUAAUAAGUUUCCAAAUAGGGGCUAUAGCUCAACCGAUCAAGAAAUUAAACAUCUGUAGAUGCACAGCUUGCAACAGUUUGCAUUUGUUGAGCCUGUUCUUGACUAGUCCUUAUGGUAAGUCGGAUUGAUUUGAGUACUUUGUACAUUUGGAAAAUUUUGUAGGUAUAUUGGCCAUAAAAACUGGAGGAUAUAAAUACUAAUGAUAUAGUUUUUCUCCAAAAUUUGAGUUCUCCUUAUGGAGCAUUGAUUUUUCAGAUUACUAUGAAUACUGAAUACAAACUUGUGAUAACUUCUGCACUAAACCAUCAUUACCUGUCGUUCUGUUGUCAAGGUCUUUUUUUUCAUAGUUACUCUUAAUUUAUCAAUUCUCAAUUAUUCCUAUUUAAAAAUUAAAAUAAUUUUUUUAAUCCUCUUGCAGACUGCAUCUCUUGUCCUGAGCAGCUGGAUCCGUUUUGAAGAAGGCCUAGAGGCUGCAAAAGCUUCUAUGUUGGCAUUGUAUUGACAUUAGGACUUUAUAAGACCACAUCUCUCUUCCCGAUGGUAGAUAUACAUUGGAAGGAUGAAGCCAUGUGAAAAAAAAUAAACAAAAAUGAUAAGUA
rnacentral:lncRNA from 1 species